GACGAACGCUGGCGGCGUGCUUAACACAUGCAAGUCGAACGGAAAGGCCCUGCUUUUGUGGGGUGCUCGAGUGGCGAACGGGUGAGUAACACGUGAGUAACCUGCCCUUGACUUUGGGAUAACUUCAGGAAACUGGGGCUAAUACCGGAUAGGAGCUCCUGCUGCAUGGUGGGGGUUGGAAAGUUUCGGCGGUUGGGGAUGGACUCGCGGCUUAUCAGCUUGUUGGUGGGGUAGUGGCUUACCAAGGCUUUGACGGGUAGCCGGCCUGAGAGGGUGACCGGCCACAGUGUGACUGAGAUACGGCCCAGACUCCUACGGGAGGCAGCAGUGGGGAAUAUUGCACAAUGGGCGGAAGCCUGAUGCAGCAACGCCGCGUGCGGGAUGACGGCCUUCGGGUUGUAAACCGCUUUCGCCUGUGACGAAUCGUGAGUGACGGUAAUGGGUAAAGAAGCACCGGCUAACUACGUG
rnacentral:rRNA from 1 species